rnacentral:rRNA from 1 species
CUAAAACCCCCCUUUUUUAAAUUUAAGACCUCAAAUCAGGUGGACUACCCGCUGAACUUAAGCAUAUC